GAGCAAACUGACAGCUACCGAAAGGAGCAAAUAUCUAAGGAAAUAGUAUGAUCUACUACUUGCCCAUAAAGAAGAUCUUGGACAGCUUAUAACCUUAGAGCAAGGAAAACCUCUGAAAGAAUCCCUGGGUGAGGUUAGCUAUGGGGCUGGUUUUAUUGAGUUCACGCGCAUGGAAUAAUGU